rnacentral:tRNA from 1 species
GGGUCGAUGCCCGAGCGGUUAAUGGGGACGGACUGUAAAUUCGUUGGCGAGAUGCCUACGCUGGUUCAAAUCCAGCUCGGCCCA